rnacentral:lncRNA from 1 species
GAUGCUUCUUUACUAAAGGAGGCCUUCUUUAUUCUAUGAGUAGGCAUUUGCAUAGUUGGUUCUUUAUUCUAUGUUGGCAUAGUGAUAGAGUAAUAGUGAGAAACUGUAUGACCGUAGGCGUGCGCGUCCGUCGCCAGCGUUUCCCGGGCGCAUGUGCACGCGUCCUUGAUCGAGUGCGUUGGUUUCGUUGCUCGCUGAGGCCGCUAAUGCCCAGUGUGGGGUGAAGUAGACCAACGCCUCCUAAAUAGAAUGUCUUUAUAGGAGGCGUUGAUUAGACGCGUGUGAUGGAGGCGGUGGCGUCUGCUAGUGCGGAAGGCACUUCGGCUGGUAUCACUGGGGCAUAUACAUGGACUGUAGCUCGUGGGAGGCCACGGAAUACGGAGGCACAGAACGCUGAGGCCAAAGCCAGACAUGCUGAGGCCACGCGGAGAAAGCGGCGGGAGAAUGCCGAGUUGCGGGCUCGUGAUGUUGAAGCGAAGCGGCAACGACGGGCUAUGGACCCGGAACUUAGGGCAAGAGAAGCGGAGGCAAGGCGGCGUAGACGUGAAGAUCCGGAAAAGCGUGCUAGGGAGAUUGAAGCCAAACGCCAGCGAAGGCAGGAUCCGGAGUACCGUGCUAGAGAGGCUGAAGCCAAACGCCAGCGAAGGCAACGAGACCGUGAAUUACGGACAAGAGUGGCUGCAUUGAUGCGUCAGCAACGUGAACAUUGGGAUUUCAGAGUGCGGGAAACCGAAAGCAGGCGCCAACAAUGUCAAGAAGUUCCAGAACUUCGAGCCAUGGAAGCAGAAACCAAACAACUUGGGCGACAAGCCGAUGCGGAGCAACGAGCCCAAGAGAGGUUGUGCCAGCAUGCUGUAACCGAAGCACGCAAUACACAGCGCACCUACAUGAAAACCAAGAUGACGAGUACAAUCCGAGAGAGGAAUCCACGGCCAGGCUGUCACAGUAAAUAUGUUGGUGAGGGUGAACCCCUGCCUCAGCAAGCCCAUCGAUCUUGUCAGACGGAGCACCACAUCACUCUGGUGUGGUGCGCAAGACCAAAUGUUUCAACUUGCAGCGCUGGAGUGCAGGUGGGACCCUGGGAACAGGAGUGCUGAUGGAAAUGCACAAGAAGGAAAUGAAAGUUCCUGUACUGCUCAGGCAGCAUGAAGCAGCUUCGCAAGAUGGUAGCCGCUGUCCUGGAGUCGCCCCGGGCAAACUUGCUCGUGACUAAACCAUCGAAGAUGCUUUGAUGAAACACAUCCUGAAGGGAUCGGGUCUCCUUUAUCAGUUCAACAUUCAACUGCCAUGCUGCUGAGGGACUUGUGUAUCGAGAAGCCUGCGCCAUAAGCAGUAUUAACACAUCUGGGCUGGCAUGCUCAAGGGUCGCAAGCCAUUCUCAUUUGCCAUUAAAGCCAAAAGUACCUGA